AUACAAAGGAAUGUAAGAAUAUAACAUUGGUUUGUGAAUUGUGACAGAUUGAUAGAUUAUAUUGUUAGCAGAAAGGAGUAUAUUGCAUAUUUACAUGGCUUGAAGGUGCGGUAGUGAUGCUUCCCCAAUAAAGUUUCACUGUGUUGUGGUAAUUGCGUGCUUUUCUAUGUAUUCAUCCAUUUAGACUCUGCAGAUCCUUCAUGGUUGCUCUGUUGGAAACCUUGAAGGAUCUGAUAGGAGCUGGCUCAAUGAUCCAAAAGAUACUGUGUUACUGACUGAUACAUGAGUACAUCCUAACGAAGCAUCAUGGGGGCUUAAUUGUUGGCUAAUUAUUUGCGCGACUGCUGCAUGCGAAGCUUUAGAAAGCUCACGAACAUGUUGCAGAGCGCGGAAUGAAUAUGGUACUAAAGUCAUUAUCUUCCAUUAGCGAGGAAGAAACAUCGACCCCACAUAUUGUGCUAUACAGAGCUUGAUACCUCUGCCUUUUAUGGUGUACUUUUGAUUCGAGAGUGAUUCCAAAAAAUAUUUAGUGAUGGCCAUUUUAUUUUUGGUACUUCUUUAUUAUUCUUGCAUGUGAAUUAUGGAGUACAUAUUAAUGCUUGUGUAGGCAUUGGUAAGCAAUAUCAAUUUAAAUUGAUGAGUUUUUGCUUUAUCAACUUGAUCUCCUGAUAAUGCAUGGUGUAUGUGACUUUCGAAGUCAAAUGCUACUUGCAGAACUGAAUUCUAUUAACCAUUUACAGAUUCUUAGGAUU